CCCACGCCUCGUCUCAGAGCUUUCCUCGA
rnacentral:sRNA from 1 species